rnacentral:rRNA from 1 species
GGAUUUAUCUGCCGCUCAUGGAUGGGCCUGCGGUGCAUUAGCUAGUUGGUGAGAUAGUAGCUCACCAAGGCGACGAUGCAUAGCCGACCUGAGAGGGUGAUCGGCCACACUGGGACUGAGACACGGCCAGUCGUCGGAGGCAGGCACACGAGGGGAUGCGNANGCAGNUNCGANCANCGNNGAGNNNAGUUGCUCAAUCNGUNUAGAGAUAUGAGUGUAACUGGCCUUGAGAUGACGGUACUUAACCAGAAAGCCAGGCUAACUACGUGCCAGCAGCCGCGGUAAAUCGUAGGUGGCAAGCGUUAUCCGGAAUUAUUGGGGCUAAAGCGCGCGUAGGCGGUCUGCUUAACACAUGCAAGUCAACGGGAUAGAAAUCUUAGUGGCGGACGGGUNAGUAACGCGUGAGAAUCUGCCUUNAGGCGAGACAACAGUUGAAACGCUGCUAAGCCCCGAUGGAACCAAGGGAAAUNUUANAGCCUAGG